CUUUCUUUCUUUCUUUUUUUCUUUUUCUUUUUUUUUUUUUUUCUUUCUUUUCUUUUCUUUCUUUUUUAAGGAAACAGUCCAAAUGCUUUAACCUGAAUUUUGUCAUAAGGCUUUCUGAUAUACCAUCUCACUGUAUGGAACACAAUUACCCCCUUCCCAUGUCCCUUGGCUUAACUAAUUCCUCUUCAUCAAUGAGAUCUUGGUUUUAACACCAUUUUCUCUGUGAAACUUUCCAUAGCCCUCUUGUUUAAGUGCUUCGUUGGUUUGACCUCACAAUACCAGGAUCAAACACAGAAGGAACUUCAUAAGGAAAGACCAGUCACACAUGUCAUAGAACAAGGGCUGAAAUAAGCACACAACCUGGAAAUGGGACUAUCGGCCUUGAACUAAAAAAUGGAUGGGGUUGCCCCUUGGACUUGGCAGGGCCUUGAGUGGAAAGGUUUAACCUGUUCCUCUCCCUGAGAUUGUAAUUAUCAUGAAGGGUACAGUUGCCUAUAGGUCCAUGUCACAUCUCUGUUACUUGCAUGUGUGGUGUAGGUCACACAGGGUGGUCAUUUGUGACCUCUGUAGAGGCUAGGAUUUUAUUCUCAUCACCUCAUACAAUACUUGCCACCUGCAAGAGCUUGAGAAACCUUUGCUGGCUAAAGCAAUGAAUGAAAGAAUUGAAUAUGCAUUCUCAGGUUACUGUAGCCUCCUAAGAUUGCAAAUCCUCAUUUUAAUACUUGAGUUUCCCCAAAUAAUACAACCAGCCUCUAAAGAUCCUCAAGGAUUCCUAGAACAUCUAUGGAUUAGCCUGGAGUGGAAAUUCUGUAGAUCCUAAAGAUUGAAUGCAAAAUUUUAUAGGUAUAUGUAGUUUGGGGAAGGAAAUGAUAAAUAUAUUUAUAUAUAUAUUUUUUAUGAUAGUCACACACACAGAGAGAGAGAGAGAGAGGCAGAGACACAGGCAGAGGGAGAAGCAGGCUCCAUGCACCGGGAGCCUGACGUGGGAUUCGAUCCCGGGUCUCCAGGAUCAGGCCCUGGGCCAAAGGCAGGCACCAAACCGCUGCGCCACCCAGGGAUCCCGAUAAAUAUUUUUUUAAAUCAGAAACUCAAAGUAUCUUACUUCCCAAAGUUACCAAAUCUUUGCUUUGAAACAGUGGUUCUUAAAGUGUGGUCCCUUCAAGAGUUUCUUCAGCAACAUUUGGAUACUUUAUUAGAAAUGCAAAUUCUCUGGGCUCUUAGGUAGCUCAGUUGGUUAAGCAUCCGACUCUUGAUUUCAACCCAGGGCAUGAUCUCAGGGUCAUGGGAUCGAGUCCCACUUGGAGCUCUAUACUUAGUAGGGAGUCUGCUUGAGAUUCCUUCUCUUUCUCCCUCUCCAUCUGCCCCUCCCCCCGCACAUUGCCUCUCUAAAAUCAAUCUUUUUUUUUAAAGAUUUUAUUUAUUUAUUCAUGAGAAACACAGAGAGUAGAGAGAGAGGCAGAGACACAGGCAGAGGGAGAGUCCCUGCAUGGACCCUGAUGCGGGACUUGAUUCCGGGUCUCCAGGAUCACGCCCUAGGCCAAAGGCAGUGCCAAACCGCUGAGCCACUCUGGCUGCCCUUUGUUGUUUGUUUGUUUUUUUUUUUUUUAAGAUUUUAUUUAUUUAUUCAUGACACACACACGCAGAGCGAGAGCAAGAACGAGAGCGAGAACGAGAGCGAGAGCGAGGCUGAACCACUCAGGCCGCCCCAAUCUUUUUUUUUUUUUUUUUUUUAAAGAAAUUGAGCUCUGCCCAAUGGGCCUAACCAACAGGUACUCUCUGAAUCUGAUUACCAGGAAACACCAGCCAAAUUGAAACUGGGGACAGUCUGCAAACUCACCAGCCUAUACUCCUAAAAAAGGUCAAUGUCAUGAAAUAACAAAGACAGACUCAGGAACAGUUGCAGAUUAAAAAUUGUCACUAAAUAAACAUGACAAUUAAAUGUCUUGGAUUUUCUUUUGCUGUAAAGCAUAACAUUGGGCCAAUUGACAAAAUGCAUAUAAGGUUUAUAGGUUAGAGAAUAAUAUAUUAUCAAUGUUAAUUUGCUGGUUUUGAUAAUUGUCCUGUGGUUUUAUAGGAAAAUUCCUUGAGUUAAGACAAUAUACACUGAAAUAUUUAAGAAUGAAGAAACAUCAUGUUUGUUUCUUACUCUUAAAUGAUCCAGAAAAAUAAUGUGAGAGAGAGAAGAAAGAAGUAUUUCUUCAUGAAAAACAUCAUGAUUCUGCUAGCAAGGAGGAUGGGAAGAAUGGAUGUUGGGUCUCAUAAUAAGCACAGAGAUCUUAAUAAUGUGAUCUUUUAUUGCUGAAAAAUAACUCGAGUAAAUUCUACCCCAAACUAUUAAAACAUGCAAUUAUAUGUAAUGGAACAUCGAAUGAAGUUUUUCCUGUGUCCUGGAAUUAACCAGAGACAUUAAGCACCCCACAUUCAGAGAGCUGCCAUCAGUUGGGGUUAUCUAUUCACCUCAGGGCCUUUGAGAGGCAACCAGUUCAGAGCCAAUCCUACUUUCCCACCCCAUCCUGCACCCAAUGACUAUAAGAAAAAGUUUAAGGGGUAAAGAAGUCCUUGGCUUUUUGACUAAUACAGUGUUUAUGAAAAGAAGCCAUUUUCUUCCUUUUUCCAAAACCAAGGGUAAGACCCCAAGAGAAUCAGCUAUAAAGGUUUGGGAAGACUACAAGAAGGGGUGAGUUGUAUUUCAUUCCCUGGUUGAACAUCAGCUUAUCUGAUGAGGUCUAAUCAGUAGAGGUCUAAUCUGCCCCUCUUAAUUGAGCAAGAGAAAGAGAAACUUCAGGGUGAUGGCAAGAUGGAGGGAGGUCUUCAUAGUGGAAUGACCACAUCCACCAUUUGACUAGACAAAGAUGUGUAUGUUUCUAACAGGUCAAACAGACUCUAGACAAAAUAACUAGGUUUGGGUCAUGUUGCUGAUACCAGAUCAAAGACAGUUAACCUGAAGAAAAGGAUAAUCCCAGGAUCAAGAGAUAUGGGAAGGAGCAUCUUUGGUAUGGAUGGCGGAAAUGAGGGGUGGGGGGAGGAGAAGCCAGUACAAUUCACAGAGCCAUGUGGUCUGGUAUGUCCCCUAUUAAAUCAAAUCUGAUCUUGUCGGAGGAAUCAAAACUGCUUUCAAUCACACUUGUACAAACCACAUUUAACCUCAUAAACCCCAAGAACCAAGAUAGGUCUAGUUGGUACUAAGAGGAUGAGGGGGGAAAAAAGCUUGGAAUGACUUUUGAGGUAGAAGUUUGGAAAUGAACAGGAGUGAAUGAGCCUUAAAUAUAAAAAUGAGACUAUUCUAAAACAAGAAUGCCCAAAGAAUUAUAAAAUUUGACAAAGAUAUCAAUAAUGAUUGAGCCACUCUGGUAAAUUUUGACAAGGCUGGUUGGACAAAAUUAUUAGAAAAACAUUUUAAACAUUUCUGUUUUAAACAUAUGAGUUUAGACUCCUAAAUAAACUGGUUCUAUAGAGAAACUAAAAUAGGAUAAAACAUUGGUCUUGAGUCAUAAUCCACUCAGAUGAACCUCAUAUCCCCCCCUUUCACCAAUCCUGCCCUGUGGUUAAUCCACCAGAAGAGAGAAAUGCCAAGAGACCCUUUCAGCUGUGGUGAUAACAGGACAGCCAAUUUUUCCUAGGAAAUUUCAAGGGAGUGAAGUCAUAAAAUCAACAUCUAGUGGCCUCUGAGGACAUGUUCCCCAGGAUCUGCGACUAUCAAGAUACCCUGAUCAGGAGUAGCUGGUCAGUGAACUGAGGGCAAAGCUGACCUCCUAUCCACUGUGGGACAUGAUCCCUGUGACCCCACUUUCAUGGGGCCACCAUCUUAUUCCAAGUCUAUUAUUAGGAAAAAAGAAAGGAAGGAAAAAGUAAACUAAAUCUAACAACAGUCGGAAUGUGACUUCAUUUGCCUUGGAUCUCCUUAUCUAAAUUUGAGUGAGGUGGUUGACACAAGUACUGACAUAUUUUCUGGUUGCAAUUCUAAUUACCAUUAUACCUAUUGUUUCCAUAGAAGAUAACGCAUGGGACAGGGGAUGAAAGGAGAGUGCCUGAGUUCAAAUGCCAGCAAUCCCAUCCAUUAGCAUUAUGACCAUAGUAAAAUUAUUUUAUCUCUCUAUGCUUCAAUUUCCUUAUCAUAAAAAGGUUGUGUGGUGCCAGGGCAGCUCAGUUGGUUAAGGUUCCAACUCUUGAUUUUGGCUCAGGUCAUUAUUUCAGGGUUGUGAGAUAGAGCCCUGCAUUGGGCUCUGCACUGGAUAUAGAACCUGCUUGAAAUUCUCUUUCUUCCUCUCCUACCCUCCCUUUC
rnacentral:lncRNA from 1 species